CGUCGAGCGGCAGCGCGGGGCAACCUGGCGGCGAGCGGCGAACGGGUGAGUAAUGCAUCGGAACAUGUCCAUGUCGUGGGGGAUAGCCCGGCGAAAGCCGGAUUAAUACCGCAUACGCUCGAGAGAGGAAAGCCGGGGACCGCAAGGCCUGGCGCGAUUGGGUUGGCCGAUGUCCGAUUAGCUAGUUGGUGAGGUAAAGGCUUACCAAGGCGAUGAUCGGUAGCUGGUCCGAGAGGAUGAUCAGCCACACUGGGACUGUGACACGGCCCAGACUCCUACGGGAGGCAGCAGUGGGGAAUUUUGGACAAUGGGGGCAACCCUGAUCCAGCCAUUCCGCGUGAGUGAAGAAGGCCUUCGGGUUGUAAAGCUCUUUUGUCCGGAGCGAAACGGUGUCGGUGAAUAUCCGACGCUACUGACGGUACCGGAAGAAUAAGCACCGGCUAACUACGUGCCAGCAGCCGCGGUAAUACGUAGGGUGCGAGCGUUAAUCGGAAUUACUGGGCGUAAAGCGUGCGCAGGCGGUUGUGUAAGCCAGAUGUGAAAUCCCCGGGCUUAACCUGGGAAUGGCAUUUGGGACUGCACGGCUGGAGUAUGGCAGAGGGGACUGGAAUUCCUGGUGUAGCAGUGAAAUGCGUAGAUAUCAGGAGGAAUACCGAUGGCGAAGGCAGGUCCCUGGGCUGAUACUGACGCUCAUGCACGAAAGCGUGGGGAGCAAACAGGAUUAGAUACGCUGGUAGUCCACGCCCUACACGAUGUCGACUGGUUGUUGGGGGGUUUGACACCUUCAGUAACGAAGCUAACGCGUGAAGUCGACCCGCCUGGGGAGUACGGCCGCAAGGUUAAAACUCAAAGGAAUUGACGGGGACCCGCACAAGGCGGUGGAUUAUGUGGAUUAAUUUCGAUGCAACGCGA
rnacentral:rRNA from 1 species